rnacentral:sRNA from 1 species
UGUCCCCUGCAGGGUGCGUGAUUGAGCAGCUGAAAUUCGAACCGAUACGUUCAACCCGGGGGUCGUUCCGGGCUGCAUGUGCAGGCCCUCAGCCGUGAGAGGGAAGCCUACGGAGCCAGGACUCGACUCCCACCUUAAACAGGUAUGGGUUCAAUGGACGUUGCACACACGGCCCAAUGGCGGGGGACUU